UACCAGCACCCCGAGUGGUCGGGACGAUUAUUGGGCCUAAAGCAUCCGUAGCCGGUUCUGCAAGUUCCCCGUUAAAUCCAGCUGCUCAACAGAUGGGCCGCGGAGGAUACGUACAGAGCUAGGAGGCAGGAGAGGCAAGCGGUACUCAGUGGGUAGGGGUAAAAUCCGUUGAAUCCAUUGAAGACCACCAGUGGCGAAGGCGGCUUGCCCAGAAUGCGCUCGACGGUGAGGGAUGAAAGCUGGGGGAG
rnacentral:rRNA from 1 species